rnacentral:rRNA from 1 species
GUGGGGAAUAUUGGUCAAUGGGCGGGAGCCUGAACCAGCCAAGUCGCGUGAAGGAAGAAGGAUCUAUGGUUCGUAAACUUCUUUUGCAGGGGAAUAAAGUGCAGGACGUGUCCUGUUUUGUAUGUACCCUGAGAAUAAGGAUCGGCUAACUCCGUGCCAGCAGCCGCGGUAAUACGGAGGAUCCGAGCGUUAUCCGGAUUUAUUGGGUUUAAAGGGUGCGUAGGUGGUUUGAUAAGUCAGCGGUGAAAGUUUGCAGCUUAACUGUAAAAAUGCCGUUGAAACUGUCGGACUUGAGUGUAAAUGAGGUAGGCGGAAUGCGUGGUGUAGCGGUGAAAUGCAUAGAUAUCACGCAGAACUCCGAUUGCGAAGGCAGCUUACUAAGCUACAACUGACACUGAAGCACGAAAGCGUGGGGAUCAAACAGGAUUAGAUACCCGUGUAGUCC